UGGGGAAUCUUCCGCAAUGGACGAAAGUCUGACGGAGCAACGCCGCGUGAGUGAAGACGGCCUUCGGGUUGUAAAGCUCUGUGAUUCGGGACGAAAGGCCAUAUGUGAAUAAUAUAUGGAAAUGACGGUACCGAAAAAGCAAGCCACGGCUAACUACGUGCCAGCAGCCGCGGUAAUACGUAGGUGGCAAGCGUUGUCCGGAAUUAUUGGGCGUAAAGCGCGCGCAGGCGGUCACUUAAGUCCAUCUUAGAAGUGCGGGGCUUAACCCCGUGAUGGGAUGGAAACUGGGAGACUGGAGUAUCGGAGAGGAAAGUGGAAUUCCUAGUGUAGCGGUGAAAUGCGUAGAUAUUAGGAAGAACACCGGUGGCGAAAGCGACUUUCUAGACGAAAACUGACGCUGAGGCGCGAAAGCGUGGGGAGCAAACAGG
rnacentral:rRNA from 1 species